rnacentral:rRNA from 1 species
UCGAGAAUUUUUCACAAUGGGCGCAAGCCUGAUGGAGCGACGCCGCGUGGGGGAUGAAUGGCUUCGGCCCGUAAACCCCUGUCAUUUGCGAUCAAACCUUGCUAUUUAAAAGAUGGCGAGCUGAUAGUAGCGAAAGAGGAAGGGACGGCUAACUCUGUGCCAGCAGCCGCGGUAAUACAGAGGUCCCAAGCGUUGUUCGGAUUCACUGGGCGUAAAGGGUGCGUAGGUGGUGGGGUAAGUCGGAUGUGAAAUCUCGGAGCUCAACUCCGAAAUAGCAUUGGAAUCUACCCUGCUAGAGGGUCGGAGGGGGGACUGGAAUUCUCGGUGUAGCAGUGAAAUGCGUAGAUAUCGAGAGGAACACCAGUGGCGAAGGCGAGUCCCUGGACGACUCCUGACACUGAGGCACGAAAGCUAGGGGAGCAAACA